UCCCUGGUGGCUCAGAGGUCAAAAAGCAUCUGCCUGCAAUGCAGGAGACCUGGGUUUGAUCCCUGGAUCGGGAA
rfam:Ovis aries breed Texel chromosome 8, whole genome shotgun sequence.